rnacentral:lncRNA from 1 species
CUAAUCCUAGAUAGCAAGCUUUGACAAGCUGUAAUUCUCAAUUUGAUCGUCCAAUUUUUGUAAACUUCUUCCACUAGUAUCUUUGCAAGCCUUCUAAAUGCUCAAGAAGUUUCAAUCCAAUCUAACUUAUAAGUUGCAAGAAAACGUCGUUAAUCCACGCUAAUGUAUCUUGACUGCCGCCUAGAAGUCUUCGACUUACUACGCCAAGAGUUACCUUAUUCUAACU